GGCUAUUCGUACCAGGGGUGUAAAUAGACGAAGCCAAAGUGAUUCCUCGAGUUAUUGUGUUUCAUCCACAGCAGUUCUAUGAAAGCAUUUGUACUAUAAUGUCGGUGGGUUGGUUACCUUUGCCCUGUUGAAUGAGUGUUCCUAUAAUCCUGUGUCCUGAAUGUGAAUGGAAUGAUGUCUCCUUGUCUUGUAAUUAAGUGGAUUUAGUGUUCUAUUUUUAGUCUUUGCUCUAAAUCAUGUCAAUGUAAGUAUCUCCUAGGCCAGUGAUGCCAGGGAUGUGACUGUACAUCACAUCCGGCCCGCAGGUGAUAAGGAGAGAAUAUAUUAUUUUAUUUUUAUGUUAUUUUUUAAAUGUUAUUUUUAUUUAAUUUUCAGUGGAAUCCGUCAGUUGGUCUGUUGCUGCUGCCCCCCUCAGCUGCAGCAGCGCCGGUAGUGCUGACGGAGUAGACUAGCGCUUGACAAUCGAUUCACGGUUUUUACUGAACUGGAAAAGGACUUUGCGCUUUCUCGCUCUUCAUUCACGAUUGACGCAUCCGAGGUACCAGAGGUAAUACAAAUGGAACUGAUAGAACUGCAGUGUUGCGUACCGUUGAAGGAUAACUAGCCUACGCAUCUGUUGCAAUCAAAUCAUUUUAUCAAUCCUUGCCACCACCGUACCCAAUGCUCACGGCCUUUGCAGGUAAAAUACUUUGUAUGUUUGGGACAACAUAUUUAUGUGAGCAGGCCUUUUCCGUGAUGAAUAUUAAUAAAUCUAUGUAUCUAUUAAUAAAAUUACCUGACGCACGGACAUCUAAAUAAUGUUAUGAAAAUAGCCACUGCCCAGGAACUGUCCCCCGAUAUGGACAAGCUGAUGAAAGUUAAAAGGUGUCUGGCUUUGACAAGUAACAUGUAGCUAAAGUAUGCUGGUUCCCCAUUUAUCAUAAUCCAGUGUGAUAUGGGUGUGUGGAAAUAUCGAUUGGGUUUGACUGAUAGCCUGUGUAGGCUAGUGCCAUAUGGGUGUGUGGAAAUAUCGAUUGGGCUUGACUGGUGAUGACUGGCAAAGUUAAUGUGCCUCAUCUGUUGAGCCAAUUUAAUGUUUUUAGAUAGCUCAUAUUUGGCUUUUUUCUCAAGAACCUUUUUGUUUUACUAAUUCCUACUGGAUAUUCAAUCACAUGGCCUAUUGUUGGACUACUUUAUUCUGGUGCUUACUUUUUUUGUGACUCGUUUAGGCCUACUUGGCCUGGCCUUCUUCUACUGUAAUUGGCCUAAUUAUACAUUGAUGUGUUUUCAUGUGCAAGCCUUCAAUAAAUAUAAUAAAAGUAA